CUCUCUCAUUAAACAUGGAGCAACUGCAGCAUUUGCUGUGCAACUGAAGAGGUCUGAUCAAGCUAUUUUAAUAAACCUGCACAGCAACAGCAUGGAAGCCCUCAGACACUGAAGCACACACACACAGCCCACCUACCUCCAGUCAAGCUAACUCCAAACAGUGAGAAGAAGGGGGAACCUGAGUGUUUGCAGGCUCCUGAAAGGACAACAGAAAAAGGAAAGUCUUACCUUGCUUCUCCAGAAGGAUGACAGAGAGGAAGCCACAGGACUCUUCCCAUGGCAGGUUUUCAGAGUACAACAAAAACCACACUACCCACAAACAAGAGGGAGGUAUUGGAAGACUUCAGACAAACUUUUGGAAAAAACUGUGUGUGACAGACCUUGUCCAAGCUCCAAGGAUCAGUCGCAAAGGGUAUGGCCAGAAACCAGGGGCAAUAAGCUGGAUUGCACAGAGCUAAGGACCCAUAUUGUUCCAGCAGCUGGGAUUUUAUGUAGCCUGGUCAGCCAGACCCAGUAAGUAAAUGAAUGCCUUUAAACUCCUCCUUAAUCUGACUAUCUUAAGCUGCCUAUGACAUUUCUGUGCUCCUGCACUCUUCAAUCAGAGAUAAAUGAACCAAAUACAAUAUGUUUCUUAUUAUCUAAAAGGAUUCAGGUAUCCAAUAAAGGGAAUGGAUUUUGACUUGGAGAACAAGAUAUAAACAAUACAUCUGGGUAGUUUCAUUGAUUCGCUUGACAGACCUUAACAGCGAGCAAAUGAGGGGAAUGUUUUUCGGUGACUUGUCUUGCAGCAAGUAUUUGUGAUUUGCAUGUGUAGUAUAGAAAUACGGAAAUGUGUUUGAUGACUGAAAUGUAAAAAUGUUAGCUGCAAGCCUUGCUUUAAAGUAUUAUAUGUUGUCAAAAUAUUGAUUGAUUAGAGCUGAAGUCAAGACUUCAGAAAUUACUUCCUAUAAUCAGCAUAAAGUGUUGGAAAAGCAUUGUGGAGGAGAAAAAAACUGACAGUUUAGAAUGCUGUUGUGCCUGUUUAAACACAACCACUAUAGAAAUCAUUGUCAAGAAUGUUGGAGGCCUAUGACUCACAUCAGUCAUUUGGUUUCCCCCCCCCCUGUGAAAUGUCCAAUUACUUUUUAAGGGGAUACAAAUCAAGUCAAGUCCAUUUUUAUUGUAUGGUCAACGCCACUGCAGUAUUACCUAAUCAAACAAAAGAAAACAAACACAAUCAAGACCAUAUAUCAGGAAAACAGCAAUAUAAAUGUGGCCCAUAUCAGUUCACUGGCACAGGGUCAUAGCGCAGCUGUAAAUGAGCUCUGCAGUUCCAGCAGCGUCUGGGUUGGUGUGGCAGUGUUUGACAGACAAGGAGAAGUAGGAAGCAGAGGGUGCGAGUGAGCUGGAACUGGGAGGUUGGGGAUCUAGCCCCUCUGAUUCUAGAUGUUAGGGAAGGAGAGGCAGACUAGCCUCUCCCUAAAGCAAGAAGCUUCAUUGGGAACUAGGGAAAUUGUUGAUAAGUCAAGAGAGGCAGCAGGGCAGGAAGAGGAGCAGCCAGAGGGGCAGAUCUCUAUUCAUUGCCAAGGCCUUGGUGCUGCCUUUGUUCAUGUGAGCAGAUGCAACCCCCCACCCCAAAACUACACAGGUGCAAGCACAGUAUUCUCAUGCAGGACAAGAAUUAACUUGUUCUUUAAAAGCUUGGCAGGGAGGGCAUUGGCACAUCUUCAUUGCUACCACACCAUCUUGAAUUCUGGACGCUGCUCUCGUACUCUUGUAUUGUGAUCCCUGUAACCCGAGCCUACUGUUG